AUUCACCACUUUGAGAUCCAGUAACAAGGCGCCGCCCACUAGGAGUCCACGCAAGACAAUUGAUUGAACAACGGUUUUUAUUUAGAGAUGUAUGAACAAAUUUAGCAGCAAAACUUGUAGAUGGAUUAUCCAAAUAGGCAACUGCUGGCAAUAUAUCAACUGCUGCUGCUGGGCUCGGUUGUAACACUGUCCUAUCCCUUGAAUCGCGCUGCCACAUGCGGAUCUGCAUAUAUCUUACAACUGUACUGGUGUAGUCAACUGCUCUUCUCUGGCCAAUUUUUCUCAUUCUCUUUGCAGCAAAACUGUCAGCAUGAGCGUCAUAAGAAGGAUGAGGAGGAGGUCCAGGUAGCUGAGAGUUAAGAGUAGUGGAGGAUGCAGAUGGCUGCCGCAUCAUGGGUGGUGGACCUGGCAGAGGUUGUGGACCCCUUGGAAACUCUCCAAAAUGUGGAGGGUGUUGUUGCUGGUGCAGUUGCUGGUGCUGUUGCUGGUGUUGUUGCUGGGGCUGUUGCUGAUGUUGUUGCUGCGGCUGUUGCUGGGGUUGUUGCUGGUGUUGUUGCUGGAAUUGUUGCUGUGGCAGCGGUGGGUGCUGGUGCUGCUGAUGCUGAUGAGGAUCACCACUCGCCAUCAUAGUUGCGGAUCCAAGAUUCAAAUUUAUGGAUCCAAAAUUCAGAGUUCAGUUACAGAAACGUGAAGGAACCAGCAACACAGAUUCGGAACUCCAGUAAAAAGGACCUUUAGCUAGUGCUACAAUGGAUGGUAGGCAAAAUCUUCGCCGGAGAUAUCAACGGCGAGGGAAGCGCGAUGUAUUCGCCGGAGAGAGCAACGGCGAGGGUGUAGU
rnacentral:misc_RNA from 1 species